AGAGUUUGAUCCUGGCUCAGGAUGAACGCUGGCGGCGUGCCUAAUACAUGCAAGUCGAACGCUUCACUUCGGUGAAGAGUGGCGAACGGGUGAGUAAUACAUAAGUAACCUGGCAUCUACAGGGGGAUAACUGAUGGAAACGUCAGCUAAGACCGCAUAGGUGUAGAGAUCGCAUGAACUCUAUAUGAAAAGUGCUACGGGACUGGUAGAUGAUGGACUUAUGGCGCAUUAGCUUGUUGGUAGGGUAACGGCCUACCAAGGCGACGAUGCGUAGCCGACCUGAGAGGGUGACCGGCCACACUGGGACUGAGACACGGCCCAGACUCCUACGGGAGGCAGCAGUAGGGAAUUUUCGGCAAUGGGGGAAACCCUGACCGAGCAACGCCGCGUGAAGGAAGAAGUAAUUCGUUAUGUAAACUUCUGUCAUAGAGGAAGAACGGUGGAUAUAGGGAAUGAUAUCCAAGUGACGGUACUCUAUAAGAAAGCCACGGCUAACUACGUGCCAGCAGCCGCGGUAAUACGUAGGUGGCGAGCGUUAUCCGGAAUUAUUGGGCGUAAAGAGGGAGCAGGCGGCACUAAGGGUCUGUGGUGAAAGAUCGAAGCUUAACUUCGGUAAGCCAUGGAAACCGUAGAGCUAGAGUGUGUGAGAGGAUCGUGGAAUUCCAUGUGUAGCGGUGAAAUGCGUAGAUAUAUGGAGGAACACCAGUGGCGAAGGCGACGAUCUGGCGCAUAACUGACGCUCAGUCCCGAAAGCGUGGGGAGCAAAUAGGAUUAGAUACCCUAGUAGUCCACGCCGUAAACGAUGAGAACUAGGUGUUGGGGGAAUAACUCAGUGCCGCAGUCAACGCAAUAAGUUCUCCGCCUGGGGAGUAUGCACGCAAGUGUGAAACUCAAAGGAAUUGACGGGGGCCCGCACAAGCGGUGGAGUAUGUGGUUUAAUUCGACGCAACGCGAAGAACCUUACCAAGGCUUGACAUUGAGUGAAAGACCCAGAGAUGGGUCCCCUUCUUCGGAAGCACGAAAACAGGUGGUGCAUGGCUGUCGUCAGCUCGUGUCGUGAGAUGUUGGGUUAAGUCCC
rnacentral:rRNA from 1 species